CGCAGCCGCGGGAAUACGUAGGGUGCAAGCGUUAAUCGGAAUUACUGGGCGUAAAGCGUGCGCAGGCGGUUUUGUAAGACAGAGGUGAAAUCCCCGGGCUCAACCUGGGAACUGCCUUUGUGACUGCAAGGCUAGAGUACGGCAGAGGGGGAUGGAAUUCCGCGUGUAGCAGUGAAAUGCGUAGAUAUGCGGAGGAACACCGAUGGCGAAGGCAAUCCCCUGGGCCUGUACUGACGCUCAUGCACGAAAGCGUGGGGAGCAAACAGGAUUAGAUACCCCGGUAGUCCCUGUCUCUUAUACA
rnacentral:rRNA from 1 species